AUCCAGCAAUGCCGCGUGAGUGAAGAAGGCCUUCGGGUUGUAAAGCUCUUUUGUCAGGGAAGAAACGGUAGAGGCUAAUAUCCUUUGCUAAUGACGGUACCUGAAGAAUAAGCACCGGCUAACUACGUGCCAGCAGCCGCGGUAAUACGUAGGGUGCAAGCGUUAAUCGGAAUUACUGGGCGUAAAGCGUGCGCAGGCGGUUGUGUAAGUCAGAUGUGAAAUCCCCGGGCUCAACCUGGGAAUUGCAUUUGAGACUGCACGGCUAGAGUGUGUCAGAGGGGGGUAGAAUUCCACGUGUAGCAGUGAAAUGCGUAGAUAUGUGGAGGAAUACCGAUGGCGAAGGCAGCCCCCUGGGAUAACACUGACGCUCAUGCACGAAAGCGUGGGGAGCAAACAGGAUUAGAUACCCUG
rnacentral:rRNA from 2 species